GACGAACGCUGGCGGCGUGCCUAACACAUGCAAGUCAAGCGAGUGUAUCUCCUUCGGGAGUGAAGCUAGCGGCGGACGGGUGAGUAACACGUGGGCAACCUGCCUCAUAGAGGGGAAUAGCCUUCCGAAAGGAAGAUUAAUACCGCAUAAGAUUGUAGCUUCGCAUGAAGUAGCAAUUAAAGGAGCAAUCCGCUAUGAGAUGGGCCCGCGGCGCAUUAGCUAGUUGGUGAGGUAACGGCUCACCAAGGCGACGAUGCGUAGCCGCACCUGAGAGGGUGAUCGGCCACAUUGGGACUGAGACACGGCCCAGACUCCUACGGGAGGCAGCAGUGGGGAAUAUUGCACAAUGGGGGAAACCCUGAUGCAGCAACGCCGCGUGAGUGAUGACGGCCUUCGGGUUGUAAAGCUCUGUCUUCAGGGACGAUAAUGACGGUACCUGAGGAGGAAGCCACGGCUAACUACGUGCCAGCAGCCGCCGUAACAC
rnacentral:rRNA from 1 species